AAUUAAGAAUACGAUUUGGCAUUUGGAGUGUUUGAGUAACUGCCCAAGCCAUGACGCUCCCGUUUCGCAAGGACUUGGACAAAUACAAAGAUCUCGAUGAGGAUGAAAUUCUCGGCAAACUUUCAGCUGAAGAAUUGAAACAACUGGAAACUGUUUUGGAUGAUCUUGACCCUGAGAAUGCACUUCUUCCUGCAGGCUUCCGACAGAAAGACCAGACUGCUAAAAAGGCUUCAGGCCCUUUUGACAGGGAGCGACUCCUUGCAUAUUUGGAGAAACAGGCUCUUGAGCACAAGGACAGGGAAGAUUAUGUGCCUUUUACAAGAGAAAAGAAAGGGAAAAUAUUUAUUCCAAAACAAAAGCCUGUACAGUCUUUCAAUGAAGAAAAAAUAUCUCUUGAUCCAGAAUUGGAGGAAGCCUUGACGAGUGCCACAGACACAGAAUUAUGUGACCUUGCAGCUAUACUGGGAAUGUCCAACUUAAUAACAAACAAUCAGUUCUGUGAUGUAGUAGGAAGCAGUAAUGGGAUUGACAAAGACAGCUUCUCAAAUAUAGUAAAAGGCGAAAAAAUGUUGCCUGUUUUUGAUGAACCACCAAAUCCCACGAAUGUGGAAGAGACUUUGCAAAGAAUUAAAGAUAAUGAUUCCCGCCUUGUUGAAGUUAAUCUAAAUAAUAUUAAGAACAUUCCAAUUCCAACGCUGAAAGAGUUUGCAAAAGCCCUAGAAACCAACACACAUGUGAAGACUUUCAGCCUUGCAGCCACCCGAAGUAAUGAUCCUGUUGCUGUUGCUCUUGCAGAUAUGUUGAAGGUAAACACAAAAUUAAAAAGUUUGAACAUAGAAUCGAAUUUCAUCACUGGAGUUGGGAUUUUGGCACUGGUUGAUGCACUGAAAGACAAUGAAACAUUAACAGAAAUAAAAAUUGAUAAUCAGAGGCAACAGUUGGGAACAAUUGCCGAAGUGGAAAUUGCCAAGAUGCUUGAGGAAAACACCAAGAUUCUUAAAUUUGGAUACCAGUUCACACAGCAGGGACCUCGGGCCAGGGCAGCUGCAGCUAUCACAAAAAAUAAUGAUUUGGUCUGGAGUAUGCAAGUAAAAAUUUCUGCAAAUGCUUUUUCAUCUCUCCAGCCCUGAAGCUACAGAGACAGGUUACUCUGAAUACCCAGUUGGGUAUUGAGCAUUGAAAACUGAGAUGUUUAAAAUCUCACAUCUCUGUACGUUUUCGCAAGAGAAGGGUCGAAGGAGACAACCAGUGAAUCUUGUUGCUGCCAGAACUGUGUUGAGACUUCAAGGGUCUUGAGACUUCAGUGAGGCACAGGCAAUCUCUGUGGGCUUUGGCAAUCUUGGACUUCAUUUACCUGGGUUAGAAGGGAAAAGACUGGAAACCCCAUUCCUCUUAAAGCAAAGCUGUAUUAAUCUGUGUGGUAUGCAUCACUUCUCUUUCAGAUUAAGACAUAUUAACUGCACAAGUCUCUGUAACAGUUUUU